rnacentral:rRNA from 1 species
UAGAGUUUGAUCAUGGCUCAGAUUGAACGCUGGCGGCAGGCCUAACACAUGCAAGUCGAACGGUAACAGGAAGCAGCUUGCUGCUUUGCUGACGAGUGGCGGACGGGUGAGUAAUGUCUGGGAAACUGCCCGGUGGAGGGGGAUAACUACUGGAAACGGUAGCUAAUACCGCAUAACGUCGCAAGACCAAAGAGGGGGACCUUCGGGCCUCUUGCCACCGGAUGUGCCCAGAUGGGAUUAGCUUGUUGGUGAGGUAACGGCUCACCAAGGCGACGAUCCCUAGCUGGUCUGAGAGGAUGACCAGCCACACUGGAACUGAGACACGGUCCAGACUCCUACGGGAGGCAGCAGUGGGGAAUAUUGCACAAUGGGCGCAAGCCUGAUGCAGCCAUGCCGCGUGUAUGAAGAAGGCCUUCGGGUUGUAAAGUACUUUUCAGCGGGGAGGAAGGGAUUGUGGUUAAUAACCGCAGUCAUUGACGUUACCCGCAGAAGAAGCACCGGCUAACUCCGUGCCAGCAGCCGCGGUAAUACGGAGGGUGCAAGCGUUAAUCGGAAUUACUGGGCGUAAAGCGCACGCAGGCGGUCUGUCAAGUCGGAUGUGAAAUCCCCGGGCUCAACCUGGGAACUGCAUUCGAAACUGGCAGGCUUGAGUCUCGUAGAGGGGGGUGGAAUUCCAGGUGUAGCGGUGAAAUGCGUAGAGAUCUGGAGGAAUACCGGUGGCGAAGGCGGCCCCCUGGACGAAGACUGACGCUCAGGUGCGAAAGCGUGGGGAGCAAACAGGAUUAGAUACCCUGGUAGUCCACGCCGUAAACGAUGUCUACUUGGAGGUUGUGCCCCUGAGGCGUGGCUUCCGGAGCUAACGCGUUAAGUAGACCGCCUGGGGAGUACGGCCGCAAGGUUAAAACUCAAAUGAAUUGACGGGGGCCCGCACAAGCGGUGGAGCAUGUGGUUUAAUUCGAUGCAACGCGAAGAACCUUACCUGGUCUUGACAUCCACGGAAGACUGCAGAGAUGCGGUUGUGCCUUCGGGAACUCUGAGACAGGUGCUGCAUGGCUGUCGUCAGCUCGUGUUGUGAAAUGUUGGGUUAAGUCCCGCAACGAGCGCAACCCUUAUCCUUUGUUGCCAGCGGUCCGGCCGGGAACUCAAAGGAGACUGCCAGUGAUAAACUGGAGGAAGGUGGGGAUGACGUCAAGUCAUCAUGGCCCUUACGACCAGGGCUACACACGUGCUACAAUGGCAUAUACAAAGAGAAGCGACCUCGCGAGAGCAAGCGGACCUCAUAAAGUAUGUCGUAGUCCGGAUUGGAGUCUGCAACUCGACUCCAUGAAGUCGGAAUCGCUAGUAAUCGUGGAUCAGAAUGCCACGGUGAAUACGUUCCCGGGCCUUGUACACACCGCCCGUCACACCAUGGGAGUGGGUUGCAAAAGAAGUAGGUAGCUUAACCUUCGGGAGGGCGCUUACCACUUUGUGAUUCAUGACUGGGGUGAAGUCGUAACAAGGUAACCGUAA